UUCGUUACUCGCUCUCUGCCCCGGACGAAGUAGGGAGGACGCCUUCGGCUCGCAAAGGGGCACGGCUCUGUUUGCUGGCUACGAUGCUGUGUGGUGCCCGGCAGCAGCUGCGGAGGCGGCUCUUACCCGCCCUCCUGGGGAGCAGAGGCUGUCCGGCAGGGCGGGGUGAGCCGCUGGGCAACCCCAACCCCCUCCUGCCUGUGGCCGCCUGUGCUUAUGGUGCGGCCGCGGGGCCGGCCGGGGCCGGGGGCUGGUACGAGACCCUGGCCACGUCAGCCCCAGCACACUGGGCGGAGGCGGUGCUAUUGGGAGCGCAGGACGCCACCGGGCUGCCGUGGUGGGCCAGCAUUAUCGUCACCACCACGGCCUUGAGGAGCGCUGUCACGCUGCCCCUAGCCGCCUACCAGCAUUACAUCCUGGCCAAGGUGGAAAAUUUGCAACCAGAAAUAAAAAUGAUUGCAAAAAAUCUUAAUUAUGACAUUGCACUUCGAGCAAAACAGUUGGGAUGGUCAAAAAGACUAAGUAGGCUCACUUACCUGAACAACAUGAGGAGGAUUGUUUCAGAGCUGUAUAUUCGGGAUAAUUGUCACCCAUUCAAAGCCACUCUGCUGGUAUGGAUUCAGAUACCAAUGUGGAUCUUUAUGUCUGUUGCCUUGCGGAACUUCAGUCUAGGGAUAACGGAUUCAGAAGGAGGCUUUUCUAUUCGGGAACAAUUUUCAACAGGUGGAGUCCUGUGGUUUCCGGACCUCACCCUGCUUGAUUCCACAUGGAUUCUACCAAUCUCAGUUGGUAUGCUGAAUUUGUUAAUAGUGGAGAUUUUUGCAUUACAAAAACUUGAAAUGUCCCGCUUUCACAAGUAUGUCACACAUUUUGCUCGUGGAAUAUCUGUGCUGAUUAUUCCCAUUGCUGCAACUGUGCCCUCAGCUAAGACCUAUCCCAGACAAUGGUCAUUUUCCCAUUAAACUACAAAACAGCUAUGGAGUUCAGGAGUUUCCUCGUUUUUGCUUCUGAAUUUUUCCCACUUGUCCAUGGAAGUAAGUGGGCAGAGAAAGAGAUACACAGUCUUGUCCUCGGUGGUGAAAAUCAACUUGACCAAGAGAGAAAGGAAGUACUUGUCACUAUGAGGGAGGAAGCUUGCCUGACCUCUCAGAUUGGUCAUCUGUCAUUCAUUGUAAAGAGCAAAGUGGGAGCAGUGAAAUACUAAAUGAAAGAAAAUAUGAAGAGGAUUGACGCUGAAGCCAUUGCCACAGCUUCCCGGGCACCUGGAUCCAAAACCGAUAGGGCACAAGCAUAGAUAACAUCUUGUGAGAAGAAAAAGCCUUACAGAAAGGAACUCUGGGUCCAGAUUUUAGCAAAUGCCUGAACCUGCGCAGAAACCAAGCGUGAACCACAGAUGACAUUUGCUUUUAUCAGAAUGAGGCAGAAGAAACUGAUUCCAGAUUUUUCAAGUACUUGGAGCCUACCUGAUGAAGGGAAAGGUCAAAGCAUGUUCAAGCUAGUGAUGGUGAUCACUGACAAUGAUCUUUCCAAUUAAUAUCGGAAUGAAUAUCUACCCAAGUAUUUAUUUCCAUGACACUCACCAGAGGCCUUAGUUUGGCCACCUAGACAAGCCAUCACCCUAAAGCCCAAAUUCUCCAUUUCUGAGAAAUUUCUAUAUGUACUUUCUAGCUCCCUUGAUCCUUCAAAUGGUUUCUCCGUGCCUCCCUACCUCCCUUUCUUCACUUUAAUCUUUCUUGAAAUAAAUGCAUGCUGGCUGAGCAUUUUCCAGAGGUUGAGGGAGAAAGUUUCUCUCUCAAUACUGUCCCCUUUCUAAAGAGAAGAAGCAGAGGGGAACCUGGAAACACGAUGUCUCAUCUUUUGUUCUACCUGACUUCCUGGCUGCCCAGAGAAUAGAAAAUGCCAUUCUAUCCACGUUUUCCCCCCAGCUCAGCCAACACACAGGCCACUGUUGUUGGGCAAACGGUAAAAUCCAGUGUUUAUGGCUUGUCAUUGCUGUUCAGACAUUUCCAGCUAGCUUUUAGGAAGAACAGACAACCAAAAGAGCCCCUCUUAAGUCUUUUAUUGAUUUUACAGUUCAAUUAAAUAAACAUAUGUCAAAAUGCACAGGGCUGGUGAGUGAGCGUAAUCCUCAAGAAUGACAUGGUUGAACUCGACCUUCCUUGUAGCCAUGAAGAAUUCUUUAACCUUUCCUUCCAUUUCAUGCAGCCCAGUUUGGUGAAUUGGUAUUAUUUUUCUUAUUAAGUCAUUGCCACAGCUGUCCGUCAACUGCUGCCUUUGGUCCAAGAGAAGACUUCUUAUUCCUGAGGUUAGUUAUUUCUGAAGCUCUCCAGAUUCAAAUCCACUGCAUUCUCUUCCAAAUCCUCACACUUAUUUCCAUUUUCAAAUAUAGUCCUAAAGCCAGCUGGUGAGCUUGACAUUUGGGCAUUUCCAUCAUUUGGGUUAGGCUUUCCUCUUUGUGGGCCAAAUUCUUCCUCCUCGUGUGCACAGAGACGUAGCAGAAAAGGAAGAUGAAAAGAAACCAGCCGCACAGGGAUGAGAGAGAGCAUAGGAGGGCCGUCCCUCUUCUUGAACUUUGAAAACCCAAUAGAAAAAAAAACCCCAAAACCAAACUUUCAACUACUUUCCAGCAUCCUCAACGCCACAAACACCUGAUGUUUGUCUUUCCUGGGGGAAGCCAAGAUGUCAGUGUCACAGGGGCCCUGUAGAGUUUGGCAUGCUGAGGUUUCCCCUAAGUAAUUAUUUCCUUGAUCAUAUCCACGUCAUGAACAGCUGUGUGAGUCAGGAGAGGCAGGUCAGCUCAUAGAAAUGAGUCAUUAAACCCUGCCUCAGGGUCCGAGAAGGGAACAGAUUGACUUGGUUUUCAAAUGUGCUGUUCUCUAUGUUUAUCCUAUAUGUACAUAUCUAUCUUUCUAUCUAUCUAUUGAUGUAUCAUAUUUUUAUUUGUUUUGUUAAAUUUUUCCCAGUUGCAUUUUAAUCUGCUUCAGGCUGCACAUGUGAGUGUUGAGGGCCCCAGACUACCCCCAUAGGAUAGGUGUUUGGCACUUUUGAUGUCGUGGCUAGAGAGCUGACUUCAUUUUUGUAUGGGUUGGGGAAGCAAUUGGGAUUAAGUGACCUUUCCAGGGUCACACAGCUAGUAAAUGUCUGAGGCCAG